rnacentral:rRNA from 1 species
GACGAACGCUGGCGGCGUGCCUAAUACAUGCAAGUAGGACGCAGUUGCGCACGGGUGAGUAACGCGUAGGUCACUCCCUAUUAGGGGGGGAUAACUAUUUGCAACGAUAGCUACUACCGCAUACUAGUCGAUUGACAUGCGUUGUAUUGGCUAGUAGGUGGGGUAAUGGCCUACCUCGGCAACGAUACAGAGCCGCCCUGGGAGGGUGAGCGGCCACACGUGGAAUGAGACACGGCCCAGACUCCCACGGGAGGCAGCAGUAGGGAAUCGUCGGAAAGGGGGGGAACCCUGAGCGAGAAACGCCGCGUGAGUGAGGAAGGUCGUCGGAUCGGAAAGCUCUGUUGUUAAGGAAGCGGUACUUAAACAGAAAGGGACGGCUAACUACGUGCCAGCAGCCGCGGUAAUAC